rnacentral:lncRNA from 1 species
AGAAUUCAUUAAUGGAUCAAGCUGAAGCAGCUUUCUCCCAAGUAGUAUUCACUAUCUUCUAAAAAUAUUUUGAUUUAACAUAAUUCACAGUGUUUUCUGUGGUUUCCAUACAGGUACAAAAUGAAUGUCCCACAUCUAUAAGCCAGGGUACAUGCUUUCUUCUAUAUUACUUGCAAUAAAUUUUCUGAUUGAUUAUAAAAGCAGGAUAUUCUUUAGCAAUUUAAGAAUUUGUUUUGGGCUAUUUGCUAAAGGAUAACAUAAUAGAUAAAAGUAUAUUAUAAAAGUAUCUUUACAUAUGACUUCAAAUUCAGGUUAAUAAACAUCGAGUACAUUUUAUAAGAAAGGAAUGAUGUUAAAUAUGGAGAUAUAAAAGAAGUAAUACAUGGUCUUGAUACUUUCAGGAUACUAAGAUAAGUACAAAAUGAUUUUUAGUAUAACAGGAAAUAUGAUUUAUCAUAUGAAACAUAAGAAAUAUUGAGGUAUACAUUUUGAGGUAUAAUUUUGCUUCUUGUUUGGGGUAAGAUUAAUUUAUUCAUUUAAAUGGUCAAAACUUAUUAAUAUUCAUUUGUUAAUCUACCAUUCUGUCUGCAUUCUUUUGCUAGGAAAUGAGCAAAGAACAAAGCAGUCUCUGUUUUCUUGGAGCUAAUAUUCUAGUUAGGUAAUGCAAAUAAUAAACAAAAACAAAGAUCCAUACAGGAGUUCCCUGGUGGCCUCGUGUAUUAAGGAUCUAGCUUUGUCACUGCAGCAGCUUGGGUCACUGCUGUGGUGAGUUCAAUUCCUGGCCCAGGAACUUAGGCAUGAUGCAGGUAUGGCCAAAUAAACAACAAAACCAAACAUACAUAUAGUCUGUCAAGCAGUGAUAACCACGUUGAGGGAAAACAAAGCAGGCUAAAGUCAGUAGGGAGGGCUGGGCAGCAUGGCAGCUGUGCUAGUCUGUGUUGGUUUGUCAAGGAAGGCCACAUUGAACAGGAUUUGGAAUGAAGCCAGGGAGCAAGUCUUGUGGAUAUCUGGGACAAGAGUCUUUUAGGCUGAGGAAGCAGCAGAUGCCCUGGACUUGAAGUGAGAGUAUGCUCAGUGUGUUCAAAGAAUAGCAAGGAGGACUUUGAGACUGAAUGGAGUAAGAGAGGGGAGCAUGGUUGAGAUGGAGCAGGAGCUGAACCAUGAAGGGUCUUUUGUACGAUCAUAAGGACUUGACUUUUAUUUCAAGUGAUUUGGGAAGCUGAGAGAGGGUUUUGAGCAGAAGAGGGACUUGAUCUGACUCACGCAUCUUGCAGUGAUCACUGGGGCUCCUGUGUGGAGAGUAGACUGUAGCGGAGCAGAGAUGGACUCGGGAGACUAUUUAAGCAUCUUGCAAUAAUCCUGAUAAGAGAUUCUGGAGGCAGAGCAGAAGGAGAGAACUGGUUAGAUUUUGAAUAUGUUUUGAAAGGAAUGAUGAUAGGAUUUGUUGAUAAUUUGGGCAUGUUUUGUGCCUUUUAUGAGUAGUGGGGACAGCCAGACAAGGGUUCUUGAGACUAUCAUAAAUAUAUUCCAUUUAUACUCUUAAUUUGAAGAAAAAACAUGUCAGAAAGAAACAGCAGUGAAGUUUACUUGAUAUAGUCUGUAGCAAUUAUUCAUCCUAAAAGGCAGCACAAGACUGGGACAGUAUGUGUUUGGUUAGUACCUGACUUGUGUUGAAGAGCGCUGACUCCGGUCAGUGUUGUCUUAGUGCUCCUAAGCCCAGGGACCGCAUACCACCCAGGGAGCCUUCACCUGUCUCCAAAGCUACAGUAGCCACAUGGAUUUCUCUUGGCAUUUCCUUUCUUUGUAAUUGUUUCCAGUGAAAUUCCAAAUAUUUAUGAUUUGCUUAAACUGGAUAAUGAAUUCUACCCAACUUUUAUCUGAAGCCUGUCAUAGACGUGGCUGGGAUCCUGCAUUGCUAUGGCUGUGGUAUAGGCCAGCAACUGCAGCUCUGAUUCAACCCCUAGCCUGGUAACUUCCAUAUGCUGUGGGUGUGGCCCUAGAAAAGACUAAUAAUAAUGAUAGUAUUAAUAUUAAUGAGUUGAUUAGUGCGUAUGAAGAAAAAUGGUUGGAGAAACAGAUAUGUUAUUUGGAAACCAAUGACAAAAGAAAAAAGAGAGAUAUUUUUCUUCUAAAAAUAAACUAUCCUAGUUCAGAAACUUAAUUUGAAAGCCUCAUAUAAUUUCUUGUAUUUUCCCCCCAAGUGAUUAAAUUCAAUUUGAAAGUAAUAAAACUCUACUACAAUAUUGGGAAUAAUUCAGUGGGUUGAAGUGAAACUGAUAGUUAGUGCAGGAGUAUAUUGUUAAUUAGAAUACAUAGUCAUAAUUCAGAGAUUGGAAUUCCCUACUAUCAUAGGUCUAAUUUCUGUAAUGAAAGAAGCAAUUCCUCAGGCGAUAUAUAGAGUUAUGUGAGUCUGUACUACUAAAGACUAGGUUUUGGGGGUUAGAUUUUAUUUAAGGUUUUUUCGCACUUAAGUGAGGACAAUGUUGUAUUCUACUUAAAGCUCCUGUCGUUUGAUGUUCUGACAGUGUGCAUGAGGCGAUGUCCAUCUCAAAGGUAGAUGGGAACAUAGCACCAGAAUACAGAGGUAUCUACUCAGAGAAGAGGAUUUCAGAGUCACCCAAAAAAGGUGAUCAUUUCAGGAGUCGGAUUAGGUGAGCUCCCCUAGAAAGUAAGCAGAGAAAAUGAUCCCGGACAGCUAACAGGAUCAUUAGGUGGGCUCCACAUUUAAUUGGUAGGAGGAAGACAGCUAUUGAAGCAGAUCAGGUUUGUAGGAGGAGAAAAGACCAAGAAAAUCAGGAAAAUAAGAUUCUUUGGUUCUAUGAGAAUAUGAAUCUUAUUAAUUUUGAUUUUUUAAAAUUUAACUUAUUGAAGACACAUUUUUUAAUCUUUUAUAUAUUAAAGAUAUAUAUUUGAUUCCUUGAAUAUUAUCACACAAGUAUAUUAUUUCUUACUGUAGCAUAUCAACAUUUAAGAUGUUUUAAAUGUAUACUUUAUGCAUUCAACAAAUAUUUAUUACCUGUUAUGUGCCAGAUUGUAGGUAUUGUAGGUUCUGUGAGCAAAAGAGACAAAAAAGCCUGCCCACGUCUUCUGCAGUAAAGGAUAACAGAUAAUGAGUAAAAUAAAUUAGAAGUGUACAGAAUAAAUCACCAAUAUAUUGUAUGUUAGUAAUGAGAGGGAGGAAAAUAAAGGAAGAGGUAUUGUGUGUUAGCUUGGGCUGCCAUAACAGAAUACCAUAAACUGGGUAAGCUUAAACAACAGCAACUCAUUUCUUCAUAGGUUUGAAGGCUAGAAGUACAAGAUCAAGGUUCUGUCUUAAGCAACAGAAAUUCCCUUUUCUCAAUUCUGAGGGCUGGAAGUCCAAUAAUAAGGUCCUGGCUGAUUCAGUUUCUGGGGUGUCUCUUCAUGGCUGCAGACAGCUGCCUUCUCGCUGUGUCCCAUGUGGUAGAGAGUGAUUGCACUAGUGUCUCUUCCUCUCUGUUAAGGACACUAUGACAUCAUGAGGGCCCCAUCCUCAUGACCUCGUCUAAACAUAAUUACCUCCCCAAAGCCCCAUCUUUAAGUACUAUCACACUGGAAAUUAGAGCUUAGUAUAUGAAUUCGGGGAGGUCACAGUUCAUUCCAUAGCUGAUAGGUAGUGUGUGAGCAGCGGUGGUCAUGCACUGGAAUAGCUGUUUGAAAUGGGGUUGGUCCAAGAACCUUGCACUGAGAGGAUGGUAUUUGAAUAAGACUUGAAAUGAGUGAGAGAAUGAGUCACAUGGCUGUCUACGAGGAAGAGCCUUCCAGGCAGAGGGCAGAGUGAGUCCAAGUCCCUGAGGCAGGAGUGAGCCUGGUGUAGUCAAGGACCAGCAGGAAACAGGUGUAUCUGGAUGCACUAAAUGGAGGGGGCGGGUUUUGUUGCCCUGCAGAAAGAAAGGAUUUUGGCUUCUGCUUAGAUAGGGAACACCAGGGGAGGGUUUUAAGCAGAGAACUGGAAGAGAACGGGGUCUGAAUUACGUUUGAAAAGAAUGUGAUCCACGGCUCCUACAAGGCAGUGCAAUCAUGUAAUUUUGGAGUGUUUUAGUAUAGUGUAUUGUUUUGAAAAUAGAUUGGUUCCUUUUUGUUUUGUUUUGUUUCUAAAUCAAGAAAACACCCCCAAAUUAGAAAAAAGUAUAUGCUUUUCUAAAUGUGAAUUCUGAGAUAAAGUGUGUAUAAAUGCCCAAAUAUAAUCCUGUGAUCCACUAGCAUUUAAAAAGGAUAAAUAUAGGGUUAUAAUAAUACUGUUAUUUGUAGUUAAUAAUAUGAUACGUUAUAAUUUUAUUUACUUGAAAAAAAUCAGUUAAAUUUAGGAAACACAUAGCCCACAUACUUGGUUACCAUAACAACUUGGGUGAUAAAUUGAAGAACAGAUGUUAUGUCAACCUGUUGAUGUUUAAUAGUAUGACAGAUUUGAGAUUAUAGUGGUAAUUUCAGAUUUCAAAUUUAUAUGUACCAUACAUUGUCCUUGAAAGAGAUACCUCAUUGAAUUUUCUUUUUGUAAGUAUUGUUACACAAUACGAAUAGAUGUGAAUAAGAGAAAUUGUAUGAUAACCCAGGGUCGAAAUUUACUUGAAAGAUUUAUUUUACAACUGAAAGCAUUUACGCUGAAUUUUUUUUAUUAUUUUUUCCCUCACCAACUCUGUGCCAUCCUUUCCUUGGCAAAAGGGAAGGGGAUGGAGGAUAAUGGAAUAUGAAAAAAAAAAUUUAAUUUGGACUUAACUAGUUAUCUGCUGUUAUGUUAUUGUAAUUGUGAUUUUUAAUAGGAUUUAUUUUUUGAUGUUCUUAGAAUUUUUAAUGUCAGCUUUAUUUGUAAACUGUUUUUUAAUUCUUGAGUUUCAAAUUUACUACAUUUAAUUUUUAGAUAGGAGAAUCACUCCGUGGCAGACUGUAAAUGUGUUCCUUUUAAUUUCAUUUUAUUUCAAAUUCUUUGAACUUUGAGGAGGCUGGAGGUUUUCACUCAUGUGUAAAUCAUUCUUAAGCAUUUAUAAUUGGACAAAGUAAAUGCAUAAAUCAUUAAUAUUAUACAUCUUAUGAGUAGAAAAUAUGGGAGUGUUUAACAUGACGUGAAUGUAGUUGUUGCCAAUGCACACAAACAUUCACUGUUCACCUUGCAGAAUUUCAUUUUGUCUGUCAUGAGGAGUGUUGAGGAAAAGGCAAAUAUCAUAGCAGCUACCGUAAUUGAAUUGGCCUCUGAAUCCUAUAAAGCCGGGAAGCCUGACAGUAACAUUGUCUAAAACCUUAAAAAAAUAUUAUGGUGCAUAUGAUGUGUAUCUACUUGAGGCUGAAAUAAAUGGGCUGUUGGAAAAAAAAUCACUUUUGAGGGAAAGGGGAGAAAAGUAAUGAUAUUUUUAGAAAAAUGGAGGUGACUUUUUUCGCUUGAAGUGUCUUGGGUUCUAUUUUCAAAGGAAGCUUUUCAUCUAAUCACAGGCUUCUUUGUCAUUGUUUUUGUUUUCUUUUUAAAAUUUAAUUAUUAUAGUUUAUUUCUUAUGAAUAAGUAAUUGCUGUUUUACUUGAUAAUGUGGUACCUAGAAGAAUUCUGAUACAUAUCAGCAGUUUUAUAAUUACUUCAGUUGUCACUGGGCAUAAAUACAGCCAUUUCUUAAUACACGAUUCUCAUAUGUUAGGAAUGGUUGAUUAUAAAAUUUUAUUUGAAAACAUUUUCUUAUUUUAUCAUUUCAGGGGAUACUUUUUUCUGUGUCAAGAUGGCUUUAAUUUUUAAUUUUUUAUGUUUAUUUACUUAAAAUUAUCAGUUACUUAUACUUACCUUAGACCACCUCAAAAAUUAGUCAGACUCAUAUUUCCUGUUGUGGCUCUGCAGGGUAAGGACCUGACGUUGUCUCUGUGAGGAUGUGGGUUCGAUCCCUGGCUUUACUCAGUGGAUUAGGGAUCUGGUGUUGCCACAGGCUGCAUAGGUCGCAGGUGCAGUUUGGAUCUGAUAUUGUUGUAGCUGUGGCAUAGGCCUCAGCUGCAGCUCCAAUUCAACCUUGGGAACUUCCAUAUUUCCAUAUGCUGCAGGUGCAGCUUUAAAAAAAAAAAAA